GACGCAGUAGGAUAGGCGAAGCGUGCUGUUGGAGUGCACGUCCAAGCAGUGAGAUUGAGUGUUAGGCAAAUCCGGCACUCUUAAGAUUGAGCUGUGAUGGGGAGAGGAACUUGUUCCUCGAGUCGUUGAUUUCACACUGCCGAGAAAAGCCUCUAGCUAGAAUAACGGUGCCCGUACCGCAAACCGACACAGGUAGUCAAGAUGAGAAUUCUAAGGUGAGCGAGCGAACUCUCGUUAAGGAACUCGGCAAAAUGACCCCGUAACUUCGGGAGAAGGGGUGCUCUUUGAGGUUCACGCUUCGAAGAGCCGCAGUGAAUAGGCCCAAGCGACUGUUUAUCAAAAACACAGGUCUCUGCUAAACCGUAAGGUGACGUAUAGGGGCUGACGCCUGCCCGGUGCUGGAAGGUUAAGAGGAGUGGUUAGCGCAAGCGAAGCUACGAAUCGAAGCCCCAGUAAACGGCGGCCGUAACUAUAACGGUCCUAAGGUAGCGAAAUUCCUUGUCGGGUAAGUUCCGACCCGCACGAAAGGCGUAACGAUUUGGGCACUGUCUCAACGAGAGACUCGGUGAAAUCAUAGUACCGGUGAAGAUGCCGGUUACCCGCGACAGGACGGAAAGACCCCGUGGAGCUUU
rnacentral:rRNA from 1 species